GACGAACGCUGGCGGCGUGCUUAACACAUGCAAGUCGAACGGAAAGGCCUUUUCGGCGGUACUCGAGUGGCGAACGGGUGAGUAACACGUGGGUGAUCUGCCCUGCACUCUGGGAUAAGCCUGGGAAACUGGGUCUAAUACCGGAUAGGACCGCACUUUAGCGUGUGUGGUGGUAAGUUUUUUCGGUGUAGGAUGAGCCCGCGGCCUAUCAGCUUGUUGGUGGGGUAAUGGCCUACCAAGGCGGCGACGGGUAGCCGGACUGAGAGGUUGGUCGGCCACAUUGGGACUGAGAUACGGCCCAGACUCCUACGGGAGGCAGCAGUGGGGAAUAUUGCACAAUGGGCGCAAGCCUGAUGCAGCGACGCCGCGUGGGGGAUGACGGCCUUCGGGUUGUAAACUCCUUUCGCCAGGGACGAAGCGUUUUGUGACGGUACCUGGAGAAGAAGCACCGGCUAACUACGUG
rnacentral:rRNA from 1 species